GUCAAGAUGGCUGAGUGGUUAAGGCGCCAGACUUAAGUUCUGGUCUUCGAGAAAGGCGUGGGUUCGAACCCCACUCUUGACA
rnacentral:tRNA from 1 species